rnacentral:rRNA from 1 species
UGACCGCUGGCGGCGUGCCUCAUACAUGCACGUCGAGCGAACAGACGAGGAGCUUGCUCCUCUGACGUUAGCGGCGGACGGGUGAGUAACACGUGGAUAACCUACCUAUAAGACUGGGAUAACUUCGGGAAACCGGAGCUAAUACCGGAUAAUAUAUUGAACCGCAUGGUUCAAUAGUGAAAGACGGUUUUGCUGUCACUUAUAGAUGGAUCCGCGCCGCAUUAGCUAGUUGGUAAGGUAACGGCUUACCAAGGCAACGAUGCGUAGCCGACCUGAGAGGGUGAUCGGCCACACUGGAACUGAGACACGGUCCAGACUCCUACGGGAGGCAGCAGUAGGGAAUCUUCCGCAAUGGGCGAAAGCCUGACGGAGCAACGCCGCGUGAGUGAUGAAGGUCUUCGGAUCGUAAAACUCUGUUAUUAGGGAAGAACAAAUGUGUAAGUAACUAUGCACGUCUUGACGGUACCUAAUCAGAAAGCCACGGCUAACUACGUG